GGAAUGAGUAGCGAGAAUUAUGUGGGAAUCAUAAUGGCCGAAAAUCUAAGGUUUCUUGGGGAAGGUUCGUCCGCCCAAGGUAAGUCGGGAGCUAAGCUCAGGCCGCGAGGCGUAGGCGAUGCACAUACGGUAGAAAUUCCGUAACCACCGAACUUUAAGCAUGAGGGACACUUUGAGAUAGCGGAACCCGGGCGUUGGUUGACCCGGGCGAAAGGGACCGAAAUAUAGUAGGGAAGUCCGCGAUGCUCGGAGGCGAGAAAAGCUCAUGUGUAUACUAAGGUGCCCGUACCGCAAACCGACACAGGUAGAUGAGGAGAGAAUCCUAAGGCCAACGGGAGAAGGGUUGUUAAGGAACUCGGCAAGAUGACCCCGUAACUUCGGAAGAAGGGGAGCCUCGAAAGAGGCCGCAGUGAAUAGGCCCAAGCAACUGUUUACCAAAAACACAGGUUUAUGCUAAAUCGAAAGAUGACGUAUAUGAGCUGACGCCUGCCCGGUGCCGGAAGGUUAAGAGGAGAUGUCAACCGCAAGGUGAAGCAUUGAAUUGAAGCCCCGGUAAACGGCGGCCGUAACUAUAACGGUCCUAAGGUAGCGAAAUUCCUUGUCAGGUAAGUUCUGACCCGCACGAAAGGCGUAAUGAUUUGGGCACUGUCUCAACAGCCCGCCCGGCGAAAUUGUAGUACUGGUGAAGAUGCCAGUUACCCGCAACUAGACGGAAAGACCCCAUGGAGCUUUACUGCAGCUUAAUACUGGAAUUCGGUAAAUCAUGUACAGGAUAGGUGGGAGACAGGGAAGCAUUGGCGUCAGCCAGUGUGGAGUCGCUGGUGGGAUACCACUCUUGAUUUGCUGGGUUUCUAACCUGCGGCCGUGAAUCCGGUCGGGGGACACUGUUAGGCGGGCAGUUUGACUGGGGCGGUCGCCUCCAAAAGAGUAACGGAGGCGCUCAAAGGUUGGCUCAGCACGGACGGAAAUCGUGCAAUGAGUGUAAACGUAUAAGCCAGCCUAACUGCGAGACCGACGGGUCGAGCAGUAACGAAAGUUGGAGUUAGUGAUCCGGUGGUAUGUGAGUGGAAAUGCCAUCGCUCAACGGAUAAAAGCUACCCUGGGGAUAACAGGCUGAUCUCCCCCAAGCGUCCACAGCGACGGGGAGGUUUGGCACCUCGAUGUCGGCUCGUCACAUCCUGGGGCUGUAUUCGGUCCCAAGGGUUCGGCUGUUCGCCGAUUAAAGUGGCACGCGAGCUGGGUUCAGAACGUCGUGAGACAGUUCGGUCCCUAUCUGUUGCGGGCGUAAGAGAUUUGAAGGGAGCUGUCCUUAGUACGAGAGGACCGGGAUGGACGUACCUCUGGUGCACCAGUUGUCCUGCCAAGGGCAUAGCUGGGUAGCUAUGUACGGACGAGAUAAACGCUGAAGGCAUCUAAGCGUGAAACUCCCCCUAAGAUUAGAUCUCUCAUUCGAAAGAAGUAAGGCACGACGUAGACUAUGUCGUUGAUAGGCCGGAGGUGGAAGCACGGUAACGUGUGCAGCUGACCGGUACUAAUAAGCCGAGGGCUUGACCU
rnacentral:rRNA from 1 species